UGGGGAAUCUUGCACAAUGGGGGAAACCCUGAUGCAGCGACGCCGCGUGAACGAUGAAGCCCUUCGGGGUGUAAAGUUCUUUCGGCAGGAACGAUUAUGACGGUACCUGCAGAAGAAGCUGCGGCUAACUACGUGCCAGCAGCCGCGGUAAUACGUAGGCAGCAAGCGUUGUUCGGAAUUACUGGGCGUAAAGAGUGUGUAGGCGGUGUCGUAAGUUUGGUGUGAAAUCUCCCGGCUUAACUGGGAGGGUGCGCCGAAGACUGCGAUGCUUGAGUAUGGGAGAGGAAAGCGGAAUUCCUGGUGUAGCGGUGAAAUGCGUAGAUAUCAGGAGGAACACCUGCGAUGUAGACGGCUUUCUGGACCAUUACUGACGCUGAGACACGAAAGCGUGGGUAGCAAACAGGAUUAG
rnacentral:rRNA from 1 species